GGGGGAGGAUGACUUGAGCUCAAAAAAAAAGAGAAUAAAUUGUGGCACGUUCAUACAGUGGAAUACUAUAUUUCAGUGAAAUGAAUGAACCAGAGCUACACCAUCAACAUCUUAAGGUAAAGUGAACAAAGCAAGCUACUGAUGAGAAUAUGAAUAAAUUGCAUUUAUAUGCCAUUGAAAAACAUGCUAUGUAUUUCUUAGGACUACGUACAUAAUUUGGAAAAGUAUAAAAUACAUAGGAAUGAUAAAUACCCAAUUCAGGAUAGUGGUUACCUUUGGGAUGGGGGGAUACAAGCAGGAAGGGCUCUGCAGGAAGAUUCAAUUGUAUCAUUGUAAUUUCUUUCUUAGACUGGGAAGUAGAUACAUGAUAUUCAUGUGUUAUCCUGUUGAUGAGGCUUAGUUAUUUUCAGAAAUUUUAAAACAGGGAAUAAAAUGUAUUACUUAAAAAUGAGAAAGGAAUCAGAAGAUACUAGUUUUAAGGGAAUGUUUAUACAACUCAGAGUAAUGAGUAGGAAGAUCUGAAUGUUAUGGCUGUCAUGAAAAAGUUAUAAAUUAUCAAAAU
rnacentral:lncRNA from 10 species